GUAGGUGGCAAGCGUUGUCCGGAAUUAUUGGGCGUAAAGCGCGCGCAGGCGGGUCCUUUAAGUCUGAUGUGAAAGCCCACGGGCUCAACCGUGGAGGGUCAUUGGAAACUGGGGGACUUGAGUACAGAAGAGGAAAGCGGAAUUCCACGUGUAGCGGUGAAAUGCGUAGAGAUGUGGAGGAACACCAGUGGCGAAGGCGGCUUUCUGGUCUGUAACUGACGCUGAGGCGCGAAAGCGUGGGGAGCAAACAGGAUUAGAUACCCUGGUAGUCCACGCCGUAAACGAUGAGUGCUAAGUGUUAGGGGGUUUCCGCCCCUUAGUGCCGCAGCUAACGCAUUAAGCACUCCGCCUGGGGAGUACGGCCGCAAAGGCUG
rnacentral:rRNA from 1 species